AAUCUUUCCAUCUACAAUAUCCAACCGUUGUGCAUUCUCAAUGCUACUUUGCCUUUCUCAUUCGGACAACCUCCUCUCAAGUUUUAGAAAGAGUUGAGAUGUGUUCAAGGGUUAAAUCUUUGGAGAUUUUCAAGGGUUAUCGAAAAGAAGAUAAAUGAGAUCGCUGCAGCAUAUGAUCUCUUGAACAUAGAUAGGAACAACUUCAAAGUGCACAGAUGGUAUUAAUUCAAUAUACAAGGACGAAUCAGGAAUUAGACUUAUAAAGUUGGUCCGAGUUCCCCGCUCAGUCAAUAUGGUGUCAAAAGCUUACCUUCAAUAUUUACAAGGUCCGGGUACAAGGAUGUUGUUUGAACCAUGCUAAGCCUAUGUAUACCACUUUUGCAGAAAGAAGCCAAGAACCGGAGUAAUUGUGGAAAGGGUGAUUCAAAAAAAAAAAAUAGACAGGGGACCUUCGUUCAAUUUCGAGUUGAUGGUGGGACUUCCAGAUGAUCUGAAUAUGUUCAUAGUUUUGGUCUCCCAGGUCUUAUAGAUUAGUAACACAUUCAACUGCAGAGAAUAACAUAAUUUAGUAAGAGAAACAUGAAUAUAUAUGAAGGGAAGAAGCUUAUGAACAAGAGUAUAGAACUGUCAUCAAGUUUAGUUCAUAAUCAUACACAGUGCGACGUCAAAUAUUAUACUCGACAGAACUAGUGAUUCAGAAGAUGCUCAGCACAAAAUUACAUUACCUUGAUGUAUUCAUGGAAAUAACCGUUCUCUUGGAGGAACUGUAUAUGGGAAUCUGCUCACUAAUUCUAUACCGGCGAACUCCUCUGACGGUCUGACCAAUUGCGUGCUUUAGCUUACAAUAUGUUGGCUACAACACCAGGCAGAUUUCACCAACUAUCUUGAUCCAGGGUAUUUCCAUCUACAGUAUCCAACCUCGGUGCAUUCUAAAUGCUACUUUGCCUUUCUCAAUCGUACAACCACCUCUUAAGUUUGAGAAAGCAAAGAAGACAAUGAUGAGAUUUUCAAUGGUUAUGGGAAAGGAAAUCCUGAGGGAAGAUAAAGGAGAUCGGUGCGGAUUGGUCAACUUCUCAGAAGAUAGGACCAACUUCAAUGUGCACAUAUGGUAUAAUUCAACAUACAAGGACGAAUCAGGAAAUAGACGUACAAAGUUGGUCCGAGUUCUCCGCUCAGUCAAUUUGGUGUCAAAAGCUUACUUUCAAUAUUUACAAGGUCCAGGGGACAAGGAUGUUGUUUGAAUAUGCCAAAGAAAUGUCUAAACCAGAAACAAUAGCAAGAAUAGAUUGAUGGAUCAGGUGAAACUACCUCGAACUCUCACCAAAAACCAGAGUGCACUAAUCCAUUGCAGUAGCAAGAGUAGAUUGAUGGAUGUGCUUUUCAGGAAAGUGGCAGCUGAGGCAAUUCAAUUAAUUUCAUUUGUUUGAGUCUAAGCUUCAUUGCUAUAAUUAAGUUUCUCAAACUUUUUCAGGAUUGUGA